rnacentral:rRNA from 1 species
UACGGAGGAUGCAAGCGUUUAUCCGGAAUCAUUGGGCGUAAAGCGUCCGUAGGUGGCUGUUCAGGUCUGCGGUCAAAGCACAAGGCUUAACCUUGUAAAGGCCGUGGAAACUGAAGAGGCUAGAGUGCGGUAGGGGUAGAGGAAUUCCAGUGUAGCGGUGAAAUGCGUAGAGAUUGGGAAGAACACCGGUGGCGAAAGCGCUCUACUGGGCCUGCACUGACACUGAGGGACGAAAGCUAGGGGAGCGAAAGGG